ensembl:lncRNA
AUCACACAAGGUGAAUGAACAAAGCUAGAGUUCCUUUUAUAGUUUCCAUUGAUGUGAUCAGCGUGGGCUUGUUUCUACAGCAGGCUGGUGAGGCUUGUCAUGGUAAAGAAUGAGAGAUCAUCACUAAAGCAUCCAGAAGGCUGCUCUGUCAGAGAGGAAGAGAGUAGACUACUUCCAGGAGUGGAGACCUGGAGCCAGAGACCACCAAUGGGAGACACAGUGACUUCAACAUCCACAUUUCACAUCAAUUUCGCAAGUAAGUUGCAGCUGAACGUGGCCACACCUUGAACUUAAAGUCAACUAGGAAACAGCCAACUCAUUGGAAAAGACCCUGAUGCUGGGAAAGAUAGAGAAGAGGCAGCAGAGGAUGAAAUGGUUGGAUGGCAUCACCAAUUCAAUGGACAUGAACUUGGGCAAACUCUGGGAAAUGGUGAGGGACAAGGUUGCAAAGAAUCUGACAUGACUUAGUGACUGAACCACAAAGGGACUUCCCUGGUGGUCCAGUGGUUAAGAAUCUGCCUUACAAUGCAGGGGACAUGGGUUCAAUCCCUGGUCUGGGAACUAAGAUCCCACAUUCUGGGGAGCAACUAAGCCGGUGCCCCACAAGUGCUGAGCCCAUGUGGGCUCUCUAGCCACAACUAGAGAGUCCGUGGGCCCCAAUGAAUGAUUCCACAUGAUGCAGAGAAGAUCGCACAUGCUACAAUUAAAACCCGAUGCAACCAAAUAAAUAGAUAUAAAAAAAAUAACGUCUACUAUCUGACAAUGCUUCAUCUGUUAUUCUAAAUCCUGAAAUCCUCUCAGUGGUCAUGGCCACUUAUUCCUCCAUCACCCGCUGAGGUGCUGUUGGGCCUCUGAGCGCCUUCCACUCCUGUCACUGUUCCUGACUGUUGCUCACUCACUGGGUUCUUCUCCCACUUCACAUCUCUUCCCCCAGCACAGAGCUCAGGGGCAAUCACUUUCAACCAAACUCUUCUUAGUACCCGAUCUCUGUCUUUUUGCUUGACCUUCUAUGAUUCCCAC